rnacentral:rRNA from 1 species
GGGAUGUACCGCCCGUACCGUAAACCGACACAGGUAGUCGAGAAGAAUAUUCUCAGGCGCUCGAGUGAACCAUGGCUAAGGAACUCGGCAAAUUAACCCUGUAACUUCGGGAAAAAGGGUGCCCUUCUUCGGAAGGGUCGCAGAGAAAUGGCCCAGGCGACUGUUUAACAAAAACACAUGGCUAUGCUAAAUCGAAAGAUGACGUAUAUGGCCUGACACCUGCCCGGUGCUGGAAGGUUAAAAGGAGAUGUCAGUCGCAAGACAAAGCAUUGAAUUGAAGCCCCAGUAAACGGCGGCCGUAACAAUAACGGUCCUAAGGUAGCGAAAUUCCUUGUCGGGUAAGUUCCGACCUGCACGAAUGGUGUAACGAUCUGGGCACUGUCUCAGUCAUGAGCUCGGUGAAAUUGUAGUAUCGGUGAAGAUGCCGAUUACCCGCAACGGGACGGAAAGACCCCGUGCACCUUCACUACAACUUUGCAUUGACUUUGGAUAAAUGAUGUGUAGGAUAGGUGGGAGACUUUGAAGCGGGGGCGCUAGCUCUCGUGGAGUCAACCUUGAAAUACCACCCUUCAUUUAUUCGGAGUCUAAUUCCACAUAGUGGAAAACAGUGCAUGGUGGGUAGUUUGACUGGGGUGGUCGCCUCCAAAAGAGUAACGGAGGCUUUCAAAGGUACCCUCAAUACGGUUGGUAAUCGUAUGUGGAGCGCAAUAGCAUAAGGGUGCUUAACUGUGAGACUAACAAGUCGAGCAGGGUCGAAAGACGGAUAUAGUGAUCCGGUGGUUCCGCAUGGAAGGGCCAUCGCUCAAAGGAUAAAAGGUACGCCGGAUAACAGGCUGAUCUCCCCCAAGAGCUCACAUCGACGGGGAGGUUUGGCACCUCGAUGUCGGCUCGUCACAUCCUGGGGCUUGAGAAGGUCCCAAGGGUUGAGCUGUUCGCUCAUUAAAGUGGCACGCGAGCUGGGUUCAGAACGUCGUGAGACAGUUCGGUCCCUAUCUGUUGUGGGCGUUGGAAGUUUGAGAGGACCUGACUCUAGUACGAGAGGACCGAGUCGGACGAACCGCUAGUGUACCAGUUGUCACGCCAGUGGCAUCGCUGGGUAGCUAUGUUCGGUUGAGAUAAGCGCUGAAAGCAUCUAAGCACGAAACUCACCUCAAGAUGAGUCUUCCUUUAAAGGUCGUGGAAGACUACCACGUUGAUAGGUUGCAGUUCUAAAGGCAGUAAUGUCAAAGUCGAGCAAUACUAAUUACCC